CCUACGGGAGGCAGCAGUAGGGAAUAUUGCACAAUGGGCGAAAGCCUGAUGCAGCAACGCCGCGUGCGCGAUGAAGGCCUUCGGGUCGUAAAGCGCUUUUCGGGGAGAUGAGGAAGGACAGUAUCCCCGGAAUAAGGCUCGGCUAACUACGUGCCAGCAGCCGCGGUAAAACGUAGGAGCCUAGCGUUAUCCGAAUUUACUGGGCGUAAAGGGCGCGUAGGCGGCCGAUUAAGUUAGAUGUGAAAGUCCUGGGCUCAACCUGGGGACUGCAUUUAAUACUGGGUGGCUUGAAUCCGGGAGAGGGAUGUGGAAUUCCAGGUGUAGCGGUGAAAUGCGUAGAUAUCUGGAGGAACACCGGUGGCGAAGGCGGCAUCCUGGACCGGUAUUGACGCUGAGGCGCGAAAGCCAGGGGAGCAAACAGGAUUAGAUACCCUGGUAGUCCACGCCGUAAACGAUGGGUGCUUGGUGUCGGGGGUAUCGACCCCUCCGGUGCCGAAGCUAACGCAUUAAGCACCCCGCCUGGGGAGUACGGCCGCAAGGUUGAAACUUAAAGGAAUUGACGG
rnacentral:rRNA from 1 species